rnacentral:lncRNA from 1 species
UUUCCCGUUACUGUCCUUCAUACUCUCUCUCUCUUCCUCAGACCUCACUCUCUCUCUCUCACCCUCUCGAACACACGGGCAACCAUCAAAACAACCUAAAACUAUUACCAACGCCGGAUUUAAAACCACCAUUGCACUCCUGAGGACUCCACGAUCACGUAGGUACCAGUUUAAGGUAAGUUUCACUUCGAAAACCCUAGUUUCUAAAGUUGCCGUGAAUGUGUACUGUUCAUGAGCUUUGAAUUGGUUGAUUUUUAGGACAAUCCAAGCUCAUAGUGAGCUUAGUGAGGUCCCAAGGAAGCUCGGAGUGCUUCGUUGGAAGGAUUUGGACGUCGGGAUCACGAGGGUUAAGUUUGGCCGGUUUUGCUUGGAUUUUUCCGGUGAGAUUUAGUUGUUUUUUGAAGCUUAAAGGUAGUAUAUUGUGAUUCUACAUGUUGAGGGCUUUAAAUUGAUAUAUUAUACGAAGAAAAUGGUUGAGAAACGAAGGAGAACGAAGCAUUUGAAAAUUCCCCAGUUUUCCGGCCACCGGAAAAACCAGUCCGGCGAACCCGCGAGGAAGAAGGUGCGCGUGGGCGCGCGUGGACCCGUGCCUUCCUUGGCGCGUGGGGGCGCGUGCUACAGUAAAAAUUAUUUUAAAAAUAUGUCGACGUCCGUGACGUCGAGUAGAUCACUGUGGUAUAUUCAUAUACCCAAAUUGAGCACCGUAUGAGAAAGUUAUUAAGGAUUGUUGGUUAGGUGUUCGAAUAACGUUUUAUAGUUUUCGCAUUAGGUGAAAAUGUGAAUUGAUGAUCCGACCGUUGGAUCGUUACCAAACUUUAGUACGUUGCAAUACGUAAUGUUUGAGGAUUAUUGGAACUUACGGAUUGGGAAUCCGAGUUACGGAUCUUCCGGAAUUGGAGUUGUAAGUUCAUAAAAUAAAAUGUUAACCGUCACUUAGUUUUGGAAAUUGACGGAGAUCCGACCGUUGGAUGGUAAUGAAAUUUUAGGAUGUUAUCCUAGAGAUAUAUUGUGGACCUCUGGAAGUUAUGGAUUUAAAAUCUGAGUGGUGGAUCUUCCGGAUUGAACUACGUAGUGACGUAUUUUAUAUAAGUUAUAUAUUCUAUCGAUAUGAAUUCUGAGGUUGGAAUUGAUUAUUGUUUUAGGCGCCGAUCGUCAUGACGCCUUGGCGUAUUGUGCUAGGGAGUUGUAGGGCGAACUCCAGGUGAGUGGGCAGUUUUGUUUUCCGUAUAUAUAUACUUGACGUUUUCCCAGAAAUUGAAAUUGAAUGAAAGUAUGCUUUAAAUGCAAUGUAUAAAAUUAUAUGAAAAGUAUAUUGAAAUGUGAAUUGAGAAGCCAUGCAUAAAAGUAUAUGAAAAGUAUAUAGAAAUGUGAAUCGAAUUGCCAUGCAUGAAAUGAUAUGAAAAGUAUGAAAUUGAGAUAUGAUGCAUAUGAAUGAAUGGUGCGGCGGACGCACAGGUGAGUAUUUAAAUACUGAUAUGAUGAUGUUAAUGUAUAUUGAGCUCAAAUCCUGCACCAUGGUUUAGUGCUUAUAGUAUUCACCGCAUCGCACGCUCGCCUUGGAUCCAAGUAGAUGCUGGUCGCACAGUCCACGCGGAGUGGGUGCGACGGGCCAGUCGAAGAGUGUUAGUGAGAUUUCGACUGGUGGGUGACCUUAGAUUAUGUGCACAGAUGAUUGAUGAGAAAGCACUAGAGCGUAACUUGUGUGCAGAAGGCCGGACAGGUCACAGAGGUGACUCCGGUAGAGUGAGAGUGAUAGAUUUUGAGCUCUAGGUUCAACCGUACAGGGCUAUUAGAGGGCCUCCGGUUGAUUACUUCUUGCACCUGAUAUAAUUACUGUUGAUGCAUUCAUACUUAACUGUUGAAUUCCGAUAUGGCAUGGCAUAUUUGUACUGAAAAAUGUUGAGUUAAUGAAUUGAAGUAUUGAGAAUAUAUAUGUAUAUUUAUAUUUUACAUUUCUGGGAAAGUAUACAGGUUUUACGGAGAGGGGUUACAACGUUUUGAGAAAUGUUUGGAUUUGGAAAAGAAUUGUUUUACUGACCCACUCAAUUUUGGUUUUGCGCCCCUCCAGGUUCAGGAAUCACAAAGGUGUGGUGGCUACGAGGAAUUCAGCGGUGUUCUGACAGAAUAGACAAAAUUAGGACGCACCUUCGGGUGUAUUAACUUUGAAGUUGUAUAAUUAAAGCUUCCGUACUGUGCAAAUGGUUACGUCACUCUCACGUGACGGCCAACAUGCCCUCCUUCGGGACGGGGUGUGUCACUACUUAUGUGUCGGUUCAUUGAAAAAUCUCUCCAUUAUUAGGUCUUUGUUUUUAUUUUAUACAUUGAAUGAUGUGUGAGUGGCUGGAUGAGAGAUGGGCAUAUAAAGAGUAGCUGGAAAUGCAGACAAAGAAGAAGAUGAAGAGAGUUCAAACUCUUUUUUAUGGUUUUGAGGAUGAGGAGGAUUCAACGAGCUUACCUUAUGAUUAGAGAAAUUGGAAAGACUAGGGGAAUAAGUGUUGCGCAAAUUAGAUAACUAAAAUUAACUUUAUU